UCGUAGUUGGAUUUCGGGCGGUUGACGACGGUCCGCCUCUGGUGUGCACUGCCGUUCAUCCGCCUUUCUGUCGGGGACGUGCUCCUAGGCUUCAUUGUCUGGGACACGGGUUCGACGAGGUUACUUUGAGUAAAUUAGAGUGUUCAAAGCAGGCAUCGCCUUGAAUAUAUUAGCAUGGAAUAGCACGAUAGGACUCUGGCCUAUUUUGCUGGUCUGUAGGACCGGAGUAAUGAUUAAGAGGGACAGUCGGGGGCAUUCGUAUUUCAUUGUCAGAGGUGAAAUUCUUGGAUUUAUGAAAGACGAACUUCUGCGAAAGCAUUUGCCAAGGAUGUUUUCAUUGAUCAAGAACGAAAGUUGGGGGCUCGAAGACGAUUAGAUACCGUCGUAGUCUCAACCAUAAACGAUGCCGACCAGGGAUUAGGCAGUGUUCUUUUGAUGACCUGCCUAGCACCUUGAGAGAAAUCAGAGUUUUUGGGUUCCGGGGGGAGUAUGGUCGCAAGGCUGAAACUUAAAGGAAUUGACGGAAGGGCACCACCAGGCGUUAAGUUCUUAGCUAUUAAGCUCUAGCGCCUAAGAGUCACGCCGAAAGGCAUGUGGCUAGUGGAGUUUAUUAAUAAUUGAACUCUGCGACACUAUCGAA
rnacentral:rRNA from 1 species